AGGAAAAAUGAGAUGUGACUAUAAAGUGAUGAAACUGAUUUUCACAUGUGGCCUGUGGGAUUUCCUUGAUUACUUUUUAGUCAUGUCUUGUAUUAGU
rnacentral:pre_miRNA from 1 species